GAUGAACGCUGGCGGCGUGCCUAAUACAUGCAAGUCGAGCGAACAGACGAGGAGCUUGCUCCUCUGACGUUAGCGGCGGACGGGUGAGUAACACGUGGAUAACCUACCUAUAAGACUGGGAUAACUUCGGGAAACCGGAGCUAAUACCGGAUAAUAUAUUGAACCGCAUGGUUCAAUAGUGAAAGACGGUUUUGCUGUCACUUAUAGAUGGAUCCGCGCCGCAUUAGCUAGUUGGUAAGGUAACGGCUUACCAAGGCAACGAUGCGUAGCCGACCUGAGAGGGGGAUCGGCCACACGGGAACUGAGACACGGACCAGACGCCUACGGGAGGCAGCAGUAGGGAAUCUGCCGCAAUGGGCGAAAGCUUGACGGAGCAACGCCGCGUGAGUGAUGAAGGUCUUCGGAUCGUAAAACUCUGUUAUUAGGGAAGAACAAAUGUGUAAGUAACUAUGCACGUCUUGACGGUACCUAAUCAGAAAGCCACGGCUAACUACGUG
rnacentral:rRNA from 1 species